AGAGUUUGAUCCUGGCUCAGGAUGAACGCUGGCGGUAUGCUUAACACAUGCAAGUCGAACGAAAGUUUUUAACUUUAGUGGCGAACGGGUGCGUAAUACGUGAGAAUCUGCCCUUAGGAGGAGAAUAACUUCUGGAAACGGUUGCUAAGUCUCCAUAUGCCGAGAGGUAAAAUAGUUUACACUGCCUAGGGAUGAGCUCACGCCUGAUUAGCUUGUUGGUAAGGUAAUGGCUUACCAAGGCCACGAUCAGUAGCUGGUUUGAGAGAACGAUCAGCCACACUGGGACUGAGACACGGCCCAGACUCCUCCGGGAGGCAGCAGUGAGGAAUUUUCCGCAAUGGGCGAAAGCCUGACGGAGCAAUACCGCGUGAGGGAUGAAGGAUUUUGGUCUGUAAACCUCUUUUCUCAAGAAAGAAGUUCUGACGGUACUUGAGGAAUAAGCAUCGGCUAACUCCGUGCCAGCAGCCGCGGUAAUACGGGGGAUGCAAGCGUUAUCCGGAAUCAUUGGGCGUAAAGCGCCUGUAGGUUGUUUAAUAAGUCUGUUGUUAAAGACUAGGGCUUAACCCUAGAAAAGCAAUGGAAACUACUAGACUAGAGUAUGGCAGGGGUAGAGGGAAUUUCUAGUGUAGCGGUGAAAUGCGUAGAUAUUAGAAAGAACACCAGUGGCGAAAGCGCUCUACUGGACCAUUACUGACACUCAGAGGCGAAAGCUAGGGUAGCAAAAGGGAUUAGAUACCCCUGUAGUCCUAGCCGUAAACGAUGGAUACUACAUGUUGCGUUUUUAAUGCAGUAUGGUAGCUAACGCGUUAAGUAUCCCGCCUGGGGAGUACGGUCGCAAGGCUGAAACUCAAAGGAAU
rnacentral:rRNA from 1 species